GGGGCUGGGGCUCAGUGGUACAGCACUUGCCUCACACGCAUGAGGCACUGGGUUCAAUUCUCAGCACCA
rnacentral:tRNA from 1 species